CAGUAAUUUAUGGGUGCCACUAUCUGCCU
rnacentral:piRNA from 1 species